AUUGAACGCUGGCGGCAGGCCUAACACAUGCCAGUCGAGCGGAUGAAGGGAGCUUGCUCCUGGAUUCAGCGGCGGACGGGUGAGUAAUGCCUAGGAAUCUGCCUGGUAGUGGGGGAUAACGUCCGGAAACGGGCGCUAAUACCGCAUACGUCCUGAGGGAGAAAGUGGGGGAUCUUCGGACCUCACGCUAUCAGAUGAGCCUAGGUCGGAUUAGCUAGUUGGUGGGGUAAAGGCCUACCAAGGCUACGAUCCGUAACUGGUCUGAGAGGAUGAUCAGUCACACUGGAACUGAGACACGGUCCAGACUCCUACGGGAGGCAGCAGUGGGGAAUAUUGGACAAUGGGCGAAAGCCUGAUCCAGCCAUGCCGCGUGUGUGAAGAAGGUCUUCGGAUUGUAAAGCACUUUAAGUUGGGAGGAAGGGCAGUAAGUUAAUACCUUGCUGUUUUGACGUUACCAACAGAAUAAGCACCGGCUAACUUCGUG
rnacentral:rRNA from 1 species